CAGCUGCAGCUGACUGACUCUGAGUGUUUGCAUAUGUGUCCUGCCUCUGAGCUCCACACGUUAAGAGGCCAGUGUUGAUCAGAGUCUGUCCAGACCUUUCACACACUCUGACACGCCGGCAGCACAAUCAUCAUGUCCCUGACUCUACUGCUGGCCACCCUGGGGCUCCUUGUUCAGGGUUCAUCAUCAGAAAUCAUCCUGACUCAGUCUCCUGGAUCUCAGUCUGUUGUUCCAGGACAAACUGUCUCCAUCAGGUGUAAAACCAGUGAGAGUGUUUAUAGCGACCUGCAGUGGUACCUUCAGAAACCUGGAAAAUCUCCACAACUCCUGAUCUAUAAUGAUGCAACUCGUUACUCUGGAGUUCCUGACCGUUUUAGUGGAAGUGGAGGUGGAUAUGACUUUACUCUGACCAUCAGUGGAGUUCAGGCUGAAGAUUCAGGAGUUUAUUACUGUCAGCAGGAUGAAAGCUUACCGUUCACACAGUGA